rnacentral:rRNA from 1 species
AGUGAACGCUGGCGGUAGGCCUAACACAUGCAAGUCGAACGGCAGCACAGUAAGAGCUUGCUCUUGCGGGUGGCGAGUGGCGGACGGGUGAGGAAUACAUCGGAAUCUACUUUUUCGUGGGGGAUAACGUAGGGAAACUUACGCUAAUACCGCAUACGACCUACGGGUGAAAGCAGGGGAUCUUCGGACCUUGCGCGAUUGAAUGAGCCGAUGUCGGAUUAGCUAGUUGGCGGGGUAAAGGCCCACCAAGGCGACGAUCCGUAGCUGGUCUGAGAGGAUGAUCAGCCACACUGGAACUGAGACACGGUCCAGACUCCUACGGGAGGCAGCAGUGGGGAAUAUUGGACAAUGGGCGCAAGCCUGAUCCAGCCAUACCGCGUGGGUGAAGAAGGCCUUCGGGUUGUAAAGCCCUUUUGUUGGGAAAGAAAAGCAGCAGGUUAAUACCCCGCUGUUCUGACGGUACCCAAAGAAUAAGCACCGGCCAACUUCGUG